GUUAUAUGGUCAAGCGAAUAAGCGCACACGGUGGAUGCCUAGGCGGUCAGAGGCGAUGAAGGACGUGGUAGCCUGCGAAAAGUGUCGGGGAGCUGGCAACAAGCUUUGAUCCGGCAAUAUCCGAAUGGGGAAACCCACUGCUUCGGCAGUAUCUUGCAGUGAAUUCAUAGCUGCUUGAAGCGAACCCGGUGAACUGAAAUAUCUAAGUAACCGGAGGAAAAGAAAUCAACCGAGAUUCCCUGAGUAGUGACGAGCGAACGGGGAACAGCCCUUAAGCUGGAAUGGCUUUAGAAAAACAAUCUGGAAAGAUUGGCCACAGAAGGUGAUAGCCCUGUAUUUAAAAGGGCCACUCCAGUGAAGACGAGUAGGGCGGGGCACGUGAAACCCUGUCUGAAUAUGGGGGGACCAUCCUCCAAGGCUAAAUACUCCUGACCGACCGAUAGUGAACCAGUACCGUGAGGGAAAGGCGAAAAGAACCCCGGAGAGGGGAGUGAAAUAGAUCCUGAAACCGUGUGCGUACAAGCAGUAGGAGCUCGCAAGAGUGACUGCGUACCUUUUGUAUAAUGGGUCAGCGACUUACUGUUCGUGGCAAGCUUAACCGUAUAGGGGAGGCGAAGGGAAACCGAGUCUGAUAAGGGCGCAUAGUCGCGGGCAGUAGACCCGAAACCGGGUGAUCUAGUCAUGGCCAGGGUGAAGGUGCCGUAACAGGUACUGGAGGCCCGAACCCACGUCUGUUGCAAAAGACGGGGAUGAGCUGUGAUUAGGAGUGAAAAGCUAAUCGAACCCGGAGAUAGCUGGUUCUCCUCGAAAGCUAUUUAGGUAGCGCCUCGGACGAAUACUACUGGGGGUAGAGCACUGUUAUGGCUAGGGGGUCAUCGCGACUUACCAAACCAUUGCAAACUCCGAAUACCAGUACGUACUAUCCGGGAGACACACGGCGGGUGCUAACGUCCGUCGUGAAAAGGGAAACAACCCAGACCCACAGCUAAGGUCCCAAAUUCACUGCUAAGUGGAAAACGAUGUGGAAAGGCAUAGACAGCCAGGAGGUUGGCUUAGAAGCAGCCACCCUUUAAAGAAAGCGUAAUAGCUCACUGGUCGAGUCGGUCUGCGCGGAAGAUUUAACGGGGCUAAGCAGUGAACCGAAGCUUGGGGUGCGUAAAACUUCGGUUUUAUGCGCGGUAGAGGAGCGUUCCGUAAGCCUGCGAAGGUGGAUUGAGAAGUCUGCUGGAGGUAUCGGAAGUGCGAAUGCUGACAUGAGUAACGAUAAUGCGGGUGAAAAGCCCGCACGCCGAAAGCCCAAGGUUUCCUUGCGCAACGUUAAUCGACGCAGGGUUAGUCGGUCCCUAAGGCGAGGGCGAAAGCCGUAGUCGAUGGGAAGCAGGUUAAUAUUCCUGCACCUCGCGUGAGUGCGAUGGAGGGACGGAGAAGGUUAGGUGUACCGGGCGUUGGUUGUCCCGGGGAAAGGCGGUAGGUUUGGAUCUUUGGCAAAUCCGGGAUCCUUUAAGACCGAGCACCGAGACGAGCCUUUAUGGCGAAGUCACUGAUACCACGCUUCCAGGAAAAGCUCCUAAGCUUCAGCUCACGAAGACCGUACCGUAAACCGACACAGGUGGGUAGGAUGAGAAUUCUCAGGCGCUUGAGAGAACUCGGGUGAAGGAACUAGGCAACAUGGCACCGUAACUUCGGGAGAAGGUGCACCCUUUUUGGUGGCUCAUGCGAGCUAUAGCUGAAGAGGGUCGCAGAAACCAGGCCGCUGCGACUGUUUAUCAAAAACACAGCACUCUGCAAACACGAAAGUGGACGUAUAGGGUGUGACGCCUGCCCGGUGCUGGAAGGUUAAUUGAUGGGGUCAGCCGCAAGGCGAAGCUCUUGAUCGAAGCCCCAGUAAACGGCGGCCGUAACUAUAACGGUCCUAAGGUAGCGAAAUUCCUUGUCGGGUAAGUUCCGACCUGCACGAAUGGCGUAACGACAGCGGCGCUGUCUCCACCCGAGACUCAGUGAAAUUGAAAUCGCUGUGAAGAUGCAGCGUUCCCGUGGCAAGACGGAAAGACCCCGUGAACCUUUACUAUAGCUUUACACUGAACGUUGAGUUCGUCUGUGUAGGAUAGGUGGGAGGCUAUGAAACUGUGGCGCUAGCUGCAGUGGAGCCAACCUUGAAAUACCACCCUGUCGUGCUUGACGUUCUAACCUAGAUCCGUUAUCCGGAUCAGGGACCGUGUAUGGUGGGUAGUUUGACUGGGGCGGUCUCCUCCUAAAGAGUAACGGAGGAGCACGAAGGUACGCUCAGCGCGGUCGGACAUCGCGCACUGUGUGCAAAGGCAUAAGCGUGCUUGACUGCAAGAUCGACGGAUCAAGCAGGUACGAAAGUAGGUCUUAGUGAUCCGGUGGUUCUGUAUGGAAGGGCCAUCGCUCAACGGAUAAAAGGUACUCCGGGGAUAACAGGCUGAUACCGCCCAAGAGUUCAUAUCGACGGCGGUGUUUGGCACCUCGAUGUCGGCUCAUCACAUCCUGGGGCUGUAGUCGGUCCCAAGGGUAUGGCUGUUCGCCAUUUAAAGUGGUACGCGAGCUGGGUUCAGAACGUCGUGAGACAGUUCGGUCCCUAUCUGCCAUGGGCGUUGGAAGUUUGAGAGGGGCUGCUCCUAGUACGAGAGGACCGGAGUGGACGAACCUCUGGUGUUCCGGUUGUCACGCCAGUGGCAUUGCCGGGUAGCUAUGUUCGGAAGCGAUAACCGCUGAAAGCAUCUAAGCGGGAAGCGCGCCUCAAGAUGAGACUUCCCGGGGCACAAGCCCCCUAAAGGAACCAUAUAGACUAUGUGGUUGAUAGGUCAGGUGUGUAAGUACAGCAAUGUAUUGAGCUAACUGAUACUAAUGAUCCGUGCGGCUUGACCAUAUAACCUCA
rnacentral:rRNA from 1 species